CAGUCUCCUUUGCCGGGUCGUUUCUCCCUCUAACUUCCUGGCAGAUGAACACUUAGAAAAAUAAGGCAUAACUGAAAUCAUUGUACCCGACAAAGGACACAAAAGACCUGAGCCAUCCAGGCUGCUGAGAGCAUCUUAGAUGCACAGAUUCUGGUACCCCAGAACCUCCCAGUUGAGAGUCUCAUUUGUCACUCCCCCAUGAGAUCAUAUGUUUGAGUCCGCCUCCAUGGAACACUGGAACUGUCAGUUUCAGAAGGACACAAAAGAAUUUGAUUAGAUACAAACCGUAACUGUCAUACAGAGGAUCAAAGCAGCCAGCCUGAAUUAUCUGAUUUUAGCUGAAUUUGAAAAAGACUACCUGAUAUUAUCUAAGUAUCAGGAUGCAACUUCUCACACUGCAGCCACCUACCAGCAGAUGAGAGAUAAUGUGUCUGCAAAAACAGCCCACGGACCAUGACACUAGAAGGGGCCUUGCGAGCUAAACAGGACUUCCUCACCACACAGGGAGAAUCUGAAGGGGUUCCCACUUUCCCAGAAACAAAUACAAGUUCCUCUAUUCUGUUGUGUUUUUAAUUAUUUUUUAUUUUCUAAACUUACGUAAGUUAUACAUCC